UACGUAGGGGGCUAGCGUUGUCCGGAUUUACUGGGCGUAAAGAGCGCGCAGGCGGUCGUUCAAGUCGCGUGUGAAAGCCCCCGGCUCAACUGGGGAGGGUCACGCGAUACUGAUCGACUCGAAGGCAGGAGAGGGAAGUGGAAUUCCCGGUGUAGUGGUGAAAUGCGUAGAUAUCGGGAGGAACACCAGUGGCGAAGGCGACUUCCUGGCCUGUUCUUGACGCUGAGGCGCGAAAGCUAGGGUAGCAAACGGG
rnacentral:rRNA from 1 species